AUUGUCUCUGUUUAAGUUCUGACAUCUUUGUAGUCCUCGUAGGCAUGAAUGGAUAAUUAUUGCUCGGUCUGGCUGAAGAACGAGGCUCUGUCCUUUCCAUCCAUUCUCAUCUAUCUAGCAUCGAUUAACAGGGGCUGCCUAUGGACGCGUGUGAGUCUUGAUUCCCGAUAGGGGAUUGAAUCCACCUGAGAAUCGUUCAUGGAGCCGGUAAAAUUGGGAUGGGAGGGGAGCGCUUUGUCAAGAAGGGAUUUGUCAGGGGAUCCCCUGAUGUUCUGAACUCGCUUUCUGGAAUAUGCCCCUGGCAGCUGGCAAAAUAGAAAAAAGGUGAGCACAUCCUGUUUACAAUGUGGAGUGAUGGCAGGAACGCCCAAUCAUAUAUAUAUAUAUAUAUAUAUAUAUACACCGUAAAUCCUCUAAUACAGGCCGGUAUUCAAUUAAAGGCCGGGUCUCCAAUUUUGGCCGGUGUCGGAGUCAGCGGAGGUAAAUAAUGGCCGGUCUCUUAUUGUGGCCGGAUGGAAUGUGGUAACAAGCAAGUACGAGACUCCCAGCGGCAGGGUUAUAGUCUCCAAAUCAACCAGCAGGAGGCAGUAGGGGUUCGCGCAGACCUUUAUUAGGCUUUUUCUUCUAGCUUUGUAACGCUUCAGACACGAUCCUCUAUCACGCUCCUACCACACAGAGUCACGGUGUCAGUUAACCAUGCUAAUUCAACCCACUCCACAGAACACACAUCACCCUCCCUGUGGCUUACAUAACACUCACACAACACGCAAAUCAGCACAUAGGAACUAGCAGAACGAUAGGAAACACAUAUAACACAAUACCCAGAAUGCACCUGGCUUACAACCCCAGCCAGGUCAUUACACUAUCAAGUUCAAAGAGAACGUGCUGAUUAUGCUGCAGAACACUCUGGAGAGCAGCAGUAGGGGGUGUAUGAACUACAGUAAUCCCUCGUUUAUCGCGGUAGAUGCGUUCCAGACCUGGCCGCGAUAGGUGAAAAUCCGCGAAGUAGGGACUCCCAGCAUGCCCCUCGCGGGGAUUCCCUCCACGUCGCACCUACGUCACAAACCGCGGCUAUAAACGGAAGUCGCCUUUACAGCUCAGUCAUCGUUUCUUCAGAUUCACGAUCAGAGUUUCCAACCUACCACUCAAUCCAACGAACUAUCAGCUCAUAGUUCUGGUCCUGAUGGACCUCAGCCACCUUCCAGAGGAGAGCGCCUUGUGCAGAUUGUGUCUGGGAUGAGAGCCAUAAUCUUAGUGUCCUGGUCCUCAAGGUGUAAAGGUGUUUGAGUGAGGGCGGAUUACAGCCAAUCACCUUCUCAGCCGAGCAGAUCGUACACUGCAGUCCGCUUCUGUCCUUAACAGCGGAGGCACGGUGCCAUGUGGUGAUAGGAGUUUAUGAUGAUGGACUCAAUAGAAACUCAUAAUGAUCUGUUCCUGCAUGUUGAACUUCUUCAGCUGCUGCAGGCAGUGCAUCUUCUACUGGACUUUGAAUAUGAGGAAACAGAUGUCCAGCUCCCAGGUUGUGAGUGAGGGUGCUUCCCAGAAAGAAAAAAGCCUCCACAAUUUCUACAGUGGAGCAGGGAUUAAUAAAGUAUUAUUGAAUUGAAGUGAAUUGAAUUGAGAGUGUCUUGGUUCCUCUUGAAGUCCACUACUAUCUCCACUGUCUUUAGAGCACCGAGCUCACAAUUGUCCUGGUAGGUGGUCAAUGUCCCUUCUUUACAAGGAUUCGUGAUCACCAGAGAUGGGGCUGACAAGUGUGGUGUCAUCUGAGUACUUUAGGAGCCUCACAGACUGAUAACUGAUGAUGCAAUUAUUAAUGGAAAGGAAGAAAACUAGAGGAGACAGAACACAGCCUUGCUGAUGGUUGGGGGAUCUGAAACAAAGCUCCCCAGCUUCACCUGCUGCUUCCUGUUGGUCAGGAAGUCUGUGAUCCACCUGCAGGUGACACCCAGCUGGAACGGCUUAUCUUGUAUCUAAUGUUGGUUUGAAAGUAUAUAAAAAAAAAACUGCAACAUGAGAUGCAAUUACAUAUUUAUUUCUCCAAACUAAGGUUGUUCAUAUAGCCAUCUGCAAAAUAUAUUAUUUUUCCAUAAACCUUCCACAGAACCCCACUAACAAGACUGGAAUAGCUCCUUUUUGCUACUUUUGAUACCAAAGACUGGCCCAACUCCAAUUUUGCAUAAUUUUGUCUUAAGCAACUACAAAAUUAUUAUUUUAUUUGUAUUUUCUGUGUGCUUCUCGAGCCAGCACCACCCUGAGCAACGUGACGUCAAGAGAAUAAAGUUCAGCAUGUUCACCUCUC